rnacentral:lncRNA from 1 species
CCCUGGUUUUGGGGCUGGCUGUGCUGUGACCCUGCUGUCCCCCUGUGCAGAUGCAGACGCUGGAGAGGCGGGUGCAGGAGCUGGAGCAGGGCAGGGCCGGGCUCCGGGAGGAGCGGGAUUCCCUCCGGGAGCGCCUGCACAGCCUGGAGAGCAGCCGGCAGGAGCUGGGGGAGGAGUUCAUCAUCCUCAAGAGCAAUUACCUGGCCCUCGGCAGAGAGCUGGACAAGGAGGCCGAGGAGUUUGCCCCAGUUCCUUGGCUCCGAAUCCCAAAAAUCCCUGCCUGAAGACAGCGAGGCUCCGACUUGGCAGCCAGGAACUUGUCGGGACAUGGGCCUCUUGCUCAUUAUUUUCCCAGUGCGGACUUUCCCAAAGGAAAUGGGAAAAGCAGCCUGCGGUUCUGCCCCCUCCCCUUCCCCGGCGCUCUUCUGCGGGAGACAAUGAACCUUUUACACAUUCCCAAUUACAAGUGCUACUUGUGACCUUGCCAAUAUGUUGUCAUGGCUGCUUGGCGCAGGAGCGGCUCGGCGAGCUCAUUCACGGCCCCUUGUCCGGGAGCAGCCGGAGCCUCCGGAUUGCAGCGGCUCCUUUGUCCGCGGGAUCCGUGCACCGCCCGCCGGAGCAGGAGCGGCCCUGCCCAGCGCUCGGACAGCGCCUCGCGGGAGAUGCCAGGCAGGCACUCGGUGCCUGUUUUCUGACUCGCUGUAAAUUCUUCCUUUUCAAGGCUCUGACCUUUCCUCGCUCUCCGUUUCUUUCUCCUUUUGUCCCCCAGGCUCGGCGGCAGCCCCCGAGGGGACCCAAACGCGCUCGGGGUUUCACGCCGGGGUUUUCCUUGGAGCCACGCCAGGCUGGGGAGUUCGGGAAAGGCAGCGAAGCCUAACUCAAACCGGGGACUGCCCCCCGUUUUUUUUUUUUUUUUUGGCUAAACCGGUCCUUGUGACCCCUACGAUCAAAUUGUUCAGGGCUGACAGCUGCAGAUGGAUCGCUGCGGGCCGGGGAACAAGCGGAGCUGUCUCUGCGGAGCUGUCAGGUUUCACAGCUGUAUAUCUCACCUCUUUGUCAGCCUCCUUUCUCCUCGCUCUCCCCCAGCCCAC